CCUAAGUACGCAUGCGCAGAGCUCCGGUUGGUGCUUGCUGAGUUCUGCACGGACCAGGGCGCUGCACAGCUUCAGAGCCUGAGAAAUCAGCCUCGCCACGAAGCCUGGAGCCUCGAGAGCCAGGGAGUGGGAAUUUGCCAUGCCAAUCCCCCAGCACUGGGAAAUGCAGAAUGAGAAACCAACCUCAGGACUGAGCACACCUAGGAAGACCCAUGAGCAGGCCUGGUGAGGUGGUUCACUUUGUUCCGGAAGUCCUUAUUCCACAUGUGAUGCUCUGGACCCUGAUUCAGGGGGGAUGGGCUUGGUCCUCCCUCAAUUUGUUAUUACAAGCACUAGUGGCUUCCCAGGGGAGGCCUUAUACCCUCUCGGGAAUGGAUGGGAAUGGGGGUUCUGGUCCUAUCACUAUGUUGCUGCAUUUCUUCUGAAUCAAAGUGAAUGGAUGACUCCAGGCUAAUGUGAAGUAAAGUGACAGAAUCUCAUUCAUAUGAGUCUGAUCUGACAUCCUAAGGUCUGGUCAUACAUCAUCUUAUCACGGACACAACCUGAGAGAAGAAACCACCUCCCUAGGCAUGUGAUAACCCUACAAAUCUCCAGAAGGGAAUAUGCUUAAUUUACACAUCUUACAUGGCUUUUCCUUGAGAUUCAGAUCAUCAGCUGAAACAGGAUCUGACAUUUAUGAAUAAAAAUUAAAAUAGAAUAGGUCUUGUAUAUGCUAAAGGAUUCCAUAAUUUGUUGGUUAUUCCUUUACCCCAUGUUACUGGGGAUGGAACCCAGGGCAUCAGGCAUACUGAGCACAUACUCAUACCCCAGAGACCACCUCAGUUCUUCCUUUAUUAUCUUAACUACCUGGAAAGUACAUAGUAUCGGUAUCCCCAGAUAUUAGAAAAGGGGGGCAGGAUAGUCUGCAACAUCAAAGACAGUAAGUGACCAGGUUGCAAAUAUGAGAAACUUAUUUCCACUGCCCACUGAUUCCUAGAUACACAGUUAUUGUGGAUUUCUAGGAAGGUACGUGAUGAGGCUGAACAUCCAUGAGGCUCAGAAAGGAAGAUAAACUUUAUCAGCUCUAUGUCCUGACUGGGAACGUGGCCGCAAUUUCUUCU